AUUACACCUCAGCUGAACGGGCUCAAAGCUCUCGUGACCUCUGGUGUUCAGCUGGCCCAGAAUGCAGCGGGAGAGGCUGAUAAGGCCAAUGAUGAGGCAGACGCUGCAGCCAAGGAGCUGGCGCGCCUGCUUGAACAGCUGGAGAAGCUGCGUGCUGCAGAGAGGACCAGUGGAAGUGAGAAUGGGACAGCAGGGGAGAGGCUCCAGAAACUUCAGAAGGAGGCUGGUUCUCUGGCCAAUGAAACUGAAGACAUGAUUAAGUUACUAACAGAGAAAACAACCUCUCUGUAUGAACUACAGCAAGAAGUCCUAAUGAAGUCUGAGAACCUGACAGGCCUGGACACCCAACUGCAGGACAUCCUGG
ensembl:lncRNA